rnacentral:rRNA from 1 species
GAUUAACGCUGGCGGCGUGCCUAACACAUGCAAGUCGAGCGGCAGCGCGUUUUACACUGAAUUCUGGAAGCUUCUAGUUGAAAGAGAAGAUUUAUUCAAGAAUUUUGUGUAAAAUGUCGGCGAGCGGCGGACGGCUGAGUAACGCGUGGGAACGUACCCCAAAGUGAGGGAUAACGCAUCGAAAGGUGUGCUAAUACCGCAUAUGGUCUUCGGAUUAAAGCCUUCGGGCGCUUUGGGAACGGCCUGCGUAAGAUUAGAUAGUUGGUGGGGUAAUGGCCUACCAAGUCGACGAUCUUUAACUGGUUUGAGAGGAUGAUCAGUCAGACUGGAGCUGAGACACGGUCCAGACUCCUACGAGAGGCAGCAGUGAGAAAUCUUCCACAAUGGGCGAAAGCCUGAUGGAGCAACGCCGCGUGCAGGAUGAAGGCCUUCGGGUUGUAAACUGCUUUUAUAAGUGAGGAUUAUGACAGUAACUUAUGAAUAAGGAUCGGCUAACUACGUG